UUUUGGUCUUGAAAUUAUAUAAUAAUGGAAACAGCAACCCUAGUCGCCAUCUUUAUAUCUGGUUUACUUGUAAGUUUUACUGGGUACGCCUUAUAUACCGCUUUUGGGCAGCCUUCUCAACAACUAAGAGAUCCAUUCGAGGAACAUGGGGACUAGUUGAAAUAAUGAAAAAUCAUUUCAUCUUUUUAGUUGGAACUUUAGGCGGUUCUCGAAAAAAGAUAGCGAAAAAAAUUAUCCCUAGAGUCGAGACUAAGAGGAAUGUAUAAACCAAUGCUUCCAUAGAUUUGAUCGUGGUUUACAAUUAUAGCUUCCAUACCUGUUUCUUUUUAUUUUAUUGGGGAUCAUCUACCGGAUAAAGAAAGGCGGUGAUUCAAAUCAAGCUUUCUCUGGGACCCUAUGCCAAAUCACAAAAAGAAAA